UCCCUCAUUGGUGGGCUUGAGUUUCCUGGAUUCUGACUCCAGCUUUCUGCUUAAUGCAGACCCUGGGGAGGCAGCAGUAGUGGCCCAGGAAGCUAUGCCUCUGCCACCCAUGUGUGGGACCUGGAUUGAGUUACCAGCUCCUGGUUCUAGCCUGGGCCAGCCCUGGCCAUUUUGAACAAUUGGAGGAUGAGCCAGUGAUGGAUUCUCUCUCUCUCUCUUUCUCUCUCUCUUCCCUCCUACCCAAAUAAGUAAAUUAAAACUUAACAAAAUCACAAGCCAUGUGAUUAGGUAGGAAAACAUGACCAAAACCACAGGAGAGCAGAUUAUGAAAGCUCAGGUUGCUAUAGCUGUGAUUGACAUUGGGGAGAGAAGGCCCUCUGUGUCCUCCUUCUCCUUCUCCUUUUUAACAUCUAUUUGUUUAUUUGAAAGUCAGAGUUAUAGAAAGAGAGAGAGAGAGAGAGAGAGAGAGAGAGAGAGAGAAAUAUCUUCCAUCUACUAGCUUACUCCCCAGUUGGCUGCAAUGGUCAGGGCUGGGCCAGUCCAAAGCCAGGAGCCAGGAACCCCAUACAGGUCUCCCACAUGGAUAGCAAGAACCCAAGCACUUGGGCCAUCCUCUGCUGCUUUCCCAGGCACAUUAGCACGGAGCUGGAUUGGAAGAGGACCAGCUGGGACUUGAACCUGUGUCCAUAGGGAUGCCCGCAUUGCAGGCAACAGCUUUACUCACUAUGCCACAAUGCUGGCCUCCUCCUUCUUCUUCAAAGGGUGCCCCUCCCACAGUAUGACCCCGUGUUAGUCUAAUGACCUCCCGCAGGCCCCAUCUGCAGCCGCUGUCACGCUGGGAGUCAGCACUUUGACAUUUCUGUGCCGGAGGAGGCACACACAUUCACUGUACAGCACGGGAGUCAGGCUCCGUCUUUGAUUUGCGGCUGCUCAUGACUUUCGUAUCCCACACCUUUCCAUUCCUCUGGCUCACUUCUGGGACAACUGACUGGCGCGCCCAGACUCACAGCUGGUUGGAAGUUUCCUUGAGCCUCAGAUGAGACUUUGGACUUGGGGAUCUCUCUUGCACAAGUGGGCCUUCCACUCCUCAUCUGUGACUUCAACCAACCAUGAAUGUGACAAAAACAGAACAGAACAAGAAGCCUCUGCACUGAGCUCUGGGUACAUCAGCAGGGAGCUGGACCGGAAUCAGAGUGGCUGGGACUUGAACUGGCGCUCCAGUAUGGGACUGCAGUGACUUACCUGGCUGUGCCAUAGUGCCCACCCUUCUUCCCUGGCUUUCUCAUGGCAUGUGUCAGGGGCUUAACCACAGAGCCACUGGAGCAAAAGAGCCAGGGGGCACCAGGAGGGUUGGGAAGAAGUGCUCACCCCCCAGCCGCGGAUGCCAGUCUUCCAGGAAAUAAGAGGAAGGCAAAGCAGAGACCUCCAGCCUGCAGAGAGAGAGAGAGUUAAAAUCAGGUGCAAAUCAGGCUCCCCAAGAGAAUUUCUGCAAGCCACAAACCAGGAACGGUGCCUGCGUGGAAAGCAGACACGGGGCCUAAGGGUGGGGGCGGGGACUGCGGGCCUGUUCUGAGGCUACCCCCAGGAUGGGGGUGGGAUGUAGGGUACCAGGUGUGGGAUGGCCCCCCUGCAGGUGCAGAACAGGGACCGUGACUUCGGGGUGUGGCCCAGAGCGUGGCGUAGGCUCCUGGGGCUGGUCGGUGUGUCCAGUGUCACUCGGUGUUGUCCACAGUUCCCUGGCCUCUCCCCUGUCUGUCCUGGGAGAAUUCCUUCAUGCCCGCCAGCCAGAAAGAAGGGCUUCCAGUUCCCAGGGACAUGCGAGGCGGGGCACUUGGCGCUGCGUGUGCAGCUGUGACCCGCCCACCCCUUCCUGUCUUGGAAGAGGGGACAGAUGCCAGGGAUGGUAGACGCAAUGUCCCUCGACUGGCAGAUGUGGUGGCCGACCCACGGUGGGCUCCAGGGUGGCUCCUGUACUCCUGCCUCAUGCCAAGUUUAAAGACAGGAAGUGGCGGGAGCUGACAAGGGCCCAGUCACCUUCCCAGCAAGCGGUAGCACUGAGCUCAAACACGUGACGCUGUGUUUCCAUCCCAGGCGUGGAUGGCGGCAGGUGGCUGCCUGCUGGGGGCUUGGUGGCUAGGCAGGGCCAGUCAGCCAUGGGGCUGAGAGCGAGCGUGCAGGGCCCUCCCAACCCAUCCAUCUCUGUUCUGUUCCUUGGCUUCCCGGGUGGGGGAUUUUGCUUUGUGUUCCAAGGUGUCUCCUGGGCUGGACUCAUGACUGGCACAGCCGUGACCUCCUCAGCCAUUGCUGGGCCCAAGGCGGCAUCCCCUUAGGGCUGAUUUGCAGGGCUCUGGUGGGUAGGUGAGUUGUGCCGGGAGGGCUGGAUGUCUCAGGACAGGGCUGCCGUCACUGGGAACUAUGGGGGUGACUAUCACUGGGCAGGGACUCAACAUCUCCUCUGCCCUCUGCACGGGCUAUGGGGCACAGUCAAGGCUAAUGAGGGGGUGUGGGACUUCGGCGCAGGCUCCCUGGAGCUCCUCCUUCUGUCGUGGGUUAGGAGCGUGUCCCAGUGGCAGGCUGGGCUGCAGUGGGGAAGGCCCAUUUAGAAGGGGUUGCUGUAAACCCUGGGCUUUAUGUGAGCAAGCUUGGUUGGAUCUUUAACUACAUGGCAGGUGGAUGUGAUGGCUUCAGGCUAUUAGAGAUUCCGGAGGCUGGGACUCUCCCAGCCGGAACUCAGCGUCUCUAACUUCCCUCCCACCCAGGUGUGGCCCAAUCCCAGCUGGGAGGGCCUUGGGUGAGCCGGGAGGGUGUGGCCUCUGCUGGGACAAAUAGGGCCUCCCUCUCCACCCUGGCUUCCAGAUGUGGCUCCCUGGUGGUGGAGGAGGCAGGACGUGACGGGAGACCCUGGUCUGACCUGGUGAUGGGGGCUUGGUCGCUGCCUGCUACUUAGGCUGACCCAGCAUCCCCAGCUCCGUGCACAGGGCGGCUUGCUGAGCAGUGAGCUACUCCUCCUCCGGUCCUUCCACCACGAGAUCCUCCCAGAUGGGGACAGUUGGGUCCCGCAGCCCUCUCCGAGUGGGACCAGCCCUCCCCCGGGCAGCACCCAGCUUCACCUCCUCCUCUGACCUCUGUGCCCUGCAGGUGGGGAGUGGAACCCGGGGGGCUUCCCUCAGCCUCACCAGAGCCACAGGGAGCUGGCCCAACACAGAGGCUGCCCACACCCCUCUCAGCCCUCUGCCUUCAGCCCUCAGGCACACAGCUUGCAGCUUCAGGAAACACCAGAGGAGAAGGCAGCGCCGUGGCUGUCCCUGUGCCACUGAGACCCUGGACAGCUCUCCCUCAAGCCCGCUCUUCACUGAGGAGGAACCUGUGGGAAUCUGCAGAGAGGCGGCAAACAGGUGAUAACUCCUUGCUUCAGCCCAGGCGGGCUGGGCUGGGACAGGAGGGGAAGCAGCCUCUUUGUCCACGGGAGAGGAGGGGAAGUGAGCCACUGAGGACCCCCUGUCUUCCCCUAAGCCUGCAGCCCUCCUCGCUGCUGCCUUCCUGGGCUCAGGGCUCAGGCCUGGACUGAGGGUCAGGCACAGGGUGGGCAUGGUGGGUGCCACAGCAGACCCACUGCAUCCUCUGCUCUCAGGGGCAGCCUGGCCACAGUGGUUGGCCUCUCUUUUUAUUUCAUUUUUUUUAAAUUUUAACUUUAUCUUUCAAAGAUUUUAUUAUUUGAGAGGUAGAGUUACAGACAGUGAGAGGGAGACAGAGAAAGAUCUUCCAUCUGCUGGUUCACUCCCCAAAUGGCCACAGUGGCCAAAGCUGGGCUGACCUGAAGCCAGGAGCCAGGAGUUUCCUCUGGGUCUCCCAUGCUGGUGCAGGGGCCCAAGCUCUUGGGCCAUCUUCCACUGCUUUCCUAGGCCAUAGCAGAGAGCUGAAUCGGAAGUGGAGCAGCUGGGACUCGAACCGGAGCCCAUAUGGGAUGCUGGCACUGCAGGCAGUGGCUUUACCUGCUACACCACAGCACCAGCCCCAACAAUGGACUGUUUUACAAGACAAACCCUGUCCUCAAUACUGGCGUUCUGUGUGUGCCCAGUUUCCAAUGGAAAGAAUUGGGAUUACAUUUUACCACGUUAUUGUCAUGGAUAUGUAUGUAUAUACAAGCUGAAGAGUGAAAUGUGUUAUUUAAAACUAAAAAGCUAUUCUCAACUGCUCAUGCAAAAUAUUAACUCCACUGUGGUGAAAAAUAUGCUAGUUAUUAGCUACCCUUAGAAUCAUGAGUUGGAACAGGAAAAGAAGAAAGGAAAUGGAUCCUUAAUGCUAUUAGGGAUCAAUUUUUUUUAAUUAAACAUGUCAUGGAAAAUGUAUUGGCCAGUGCCGCGGCUCACUAGGCUAAUCCUCCACCUAGCGGCGCCGGCAUAACGGGUUCUAGUCCAGGUCGGGGUGCCAGAUUCUUUCCCGGUUGCCCCUCUUCCAGGCCAGCUCUCUGCUGUGGCCAGGGAGUGCACUGGAGGAUGGCCCAGGUGCUUGGGCCC